UGGGGAAUCUUGGACAAUGGGCGCAAGCCUGAUCCAGCAAUGCCGCGUGGGUGAAGAAGGCCUGCGGGUUGUAAAGCCCUUUCGGUGGGGAGGAACGGUCUGGUGCUAAUAUCGCUGGGCGUUGCCGUUACCCACAGAAGAAGCACCGGCCAACUCCGUGCCAGCAGCCGCGGUAAUACGGAGGGUGCGAGCGUUAAUCGGAAUUACUGGGCGUAAAGGGCGCGUAGGUGGUGCGUUGAGUCAGCUGUGAAAGCCCUGGGCUUAACCUGGGAAUGGCAGUUGAGACUGGCGUGCUGGAGUGUAACAGAGGACGGCGGAAUUCCCGGUGUAGCGGUGAAAUGCGUAGAGAUCGGGAGGAACACCGAUGGCGAAGGCAGCCGUCUGGGUUGACACUGACGCUGAGGCGCGAAGGCGUGGGGAGCAAACAGGAUUAGAUACCCUGGUAGUCCACGCUGUAAACGAUGAAUACUAGGUGUCGGGUCGAAAGGUUCGGUACCGAAGCUAACGCAUUAAGUAUUCCACCUGGGGAGUACGAUCGCAAGGUUG
rnacentral:rRNA from 1 species